rnacentral:rRNA from 1 species
GAUGAACGCUAGCGAUAGGCUUAACACAUGCAAGUCGAGGGGCCGCACAAGGUAGCUUGCUAUCUGGGUGGCGACCGGCGCACGGGUGCGUAACGCGUAUGCAACUUGCACUAUACAGGAGGAUAACCCGUCGAAAGACGGACUAAUACUGCGUCUGCUCACAACUUGGCAUCAAGUGGUGAGGAAAGAAAUUCGGUAUAGGAUAGGCAUGCGUCCCAUUAGCUUGUUGGUGAGGUAACGGCUCACCAAGGCAACGAUGGGUAGGGGAACUGAGAGGUGUCUCCCCCACACUGGUACUGAGACACGGGCCAGACUCCUACGGGAGGCAGCGGUGAGGAAUAUUGGGCAAAGAGCGCGAGCCUGAACCAGCCAAGUCGCGUGAAGGAUGACUGUCUUAUGGAUUGUAAACUUCUUUUAUACGGGAAUAACAAAAGUCACGUGUCACUCCCUGCAUGUACCGUAUGAGAAAGCAGCGGCUAACUCCGUG